UUUCUGCAAUUUCAAAUUCAUGAUUCAAUUUCAAUUAGAAAUUAAUUUUUUGUUUGUCUUUUUUUGGAUAGAGAGGGAGAAAGAAAGAGUCUUGGUUUGAUGAAUCCUCUAAAAAAAAUUCGUUUCCAAAUCCUUCUUCUUCGUCAUCUCCGUGGGCAUUUGCGUUCCACAUUUUUUCUUGUUAGUUCUUCAUGUCUAGCUUCUUGUUCUUCUUCGUAUUCGUGAGUCUCUUUCAAAUCUCUCUAUCAUUAUCAGUUUUCAACUUCUGGGUUUAGGUAACUUCUUCAUCAUUAAAAUGUUGUUUCAUGAUAAUAAAAAGUCAAGUCCGAGUUCGUUUCUAUCUCUAGUUAUAAUCGUUACUGAUGUGAAAGUUUCUUAUACUCAUAUGAGUUACAGCUUACUGUGAAUUUGUGAUGGUGAAGAGACUUGAAGGUGCUAAAACGGUGAUGACGAGUGAAGAAGCGAGUGAUGGUAGAUGUAUCAAAGAUUGUCGCCAAAGCAAGAAGCUGCUUGUUCGCAUCAAGCAAACUCAAGUGAUUGAUUCAUCUAAGAUAUAUCUUCUUAUAAUUGAUGGGGUUGAGAAUGAUGACGAGUCUAACGGGCAAAAAGAGUUUUAUCAUGACCAGGUGAGAUUUUCUAAUUUACCAUGCUCGAGUCUUCUGAAUCGUAAUGUUCAUUGAGAAUGAUGACGAUUCUAAUGGGCAAGAAGAGUAUGUGAUAUCAUUGAAGGAAAGCGUCAUCUUGUGCUUGGUGUGAUUUCUCAAAUCAUCAAGAUACAGUUGCUAGCAGACUUAAACUUGAAGAAAACUCCCAGCUGGUGGAGUUGGUUGCUGAUAGCAAUAUAAAAUUACUCACUCAUAGUGAAAAUUUUGACUUUGUUUUGAGCACAAGGUACGACUGUUUUUUGCUUCUUUAAUGUCCAAUUUAUUAUACAUGAUGGGAAUAAUCUCUAUGAUUUCAUUUACUUUGAGAAUGUUGCUUAUGCCCAUGUUUGUGUUGAGCUUGCUCUAGCUUUAGGAGGAUAUGUUUCAACAAAAGCUGCAGGACAUGCCUUAGUAUUCUAAAGUGGAGUUUUGUCUCAGUUUCACAAAACUGUAGAUAG